GAGCAGUUUCUCAUUUCUCCCAUGUCCUUAGCAAAAUAAAAUUUUGUUAUCUAAAUGUCUGGUUAUAUGGAUAUAACACAUUUUGUCCCAUUCCCUACUGUUGGACAUUUGGGUUGAUAUCAAUUUUUCCUUUCUAAAAAUUUAACUUUGACAGUGUCAAGAAAAUGAACUGAAAUAUCCAAAAUCCUAUCUCCUAUACCAAACAUGCAGAAGAAAGAAUUAUUUAAAAAGUUAAAAUACGUAUCUGUGAUUGAAAGCUGACAAUGUUCAAUGGACCUAAAAGAAGGAAAGAGACAAGAAGCCACAGUGUCCAGCCAGGAAACCCAUGAAGUCCAAGGCAAAGGGAAUAAACAGAUAUAGAAUUAAGAAUCACCAGAGCCUGGGUCGCUCAGUCAUUAAGCAUCUGCCUUUGGCUCAAGUCAUGACCCGGGGUCCCGGGAUCGAGCCCCGCAUCGGGCUCCCUGCUCAGCAAGGAGCCUGCUUCUCCCUCUCUCUGCCGCUCCCCCUACUUGUGCUCUCUCUCAAAUAAAUACAUAAAAAAUCUUAAAAAAACAAAAACAAAACACCAAACACAUGAAGAAGUCCAGCUCCAUGAAAAAGGGACAAGAAAUUUAGCAAACAAAACCUUUGUACUCCCAGCAAAACAGAGACCCACCAAGCUACCAAAAAUCACUGCGCUACUGAAGAAAUCUGUACGACUAGAAGGUCUGACUUGAAAAACUAGGAGCCCAGUCGUCCCUAUCCUUCCAGGCAUCUACUUCAGGAUGUAUGUGCCAUAAACCGAAAAGCGAACGGAGAUGGAAUAAAGCCAUGGAUCUAGAAACCAUGACACCGACACUGGAAAUAAAGCUACCUAAAUCUAACUAAGGCUACUCCAAGCAGUGUUUCUCUAAUUACUUAUGCUGAAGGACCUAUUUUAAAAAAAAUUCCAAGCCAUCAAAAGUCAACUUUAUCAAUUACAACCACAAUAAAUUAACAGUCAUUUCGGAAAAGAGCUUGUCAAUUCCUUCAAAAGUGAAUUGUAUACCUAAGAUAUUCUACUCCUAGGAAAUUAUCAAAGAAAAAUGAAAGCACAUAUUUAUACAGAAACCUGUACAAGAAUACUCAUGGCAGUUUACUGGUAAUAGCCCCAAACCAGAAAUAACCUUAAUGUCCAUCAAUUGGUGAGAAGAUAAACUGUGGUCUCAAGGGAAAAAAAUUCAUUAAACAAAAAUAAAAAUACAACCUAUCAAAAUUGGUGGACACAGCUAAAGCAGUGAUGAGAACAAAGUUUAUAGCAUUAAGUAUAUACACAAGAGGAAAAGUCUCAAUAAUCUGAGAUUCCACCUCAAGAACCCAGAAAAAGAGCAAAAUAAACCCACAUCAAGCAGAAAAAAAGGAAAUGAUAAAGAUAUGAACAGACAUCAAUAAAACUGAAAAGGGAAAAACAGAAAAAUCUACGAAACAAACAGCUAGUUCUUUGAAAAAAAGCAAUAAAAUUAACAAACCUCUAGAAAGGUUGCCCCCCAAUCCCAAAAAAGACAGAAAUUACCAACAUCAAGAAUGAAACAGGGUUAUCAUUGUAUCACUACAAACAUCAAAAGGAUAGUAAGAAAAUUUAUGCACACAAUUUGAAAACUUAAGACACAAUGGACCAAUUCCUCAAAAAACAGUAGCUACCACAACUCCUUAAAUAUGAAAUAGAUUAUUUGAAUAGCUCUCUAUUAAAAUUCGUAAUUUUAAAACUCCCCAAAAAAGAAAUCUCAAAAACCCAGAUAGUGUCAUUUGAGAAUUAUUCGGAAGGUUUGAAGAAAAAUUAACACCAAUUCUACACAUUCUCUUCCAAAAAAAAAAAAAAAAAAAAAAAAAAAUUGAAGAGGAGGGAACACUUCCCAAUUCAUUCUAUAAAGCUAGUUGGUACUCUGACACCAAAAGCAGACAGACAGUACAAAAACUAUAGAACAAUUUCCCUCAAAUAGACACAAAAAUCCUUUAUUAACAGAAUUCAACAACAUAUAAAAGUAUAUUUAUAUACCACAACCAAGAAGUAUUUUCAGGGAUGUAAGAUUACUUGAUGGUAAAACAAACAAACAAAAACAAUGUAAUGCAUCAUAUUAACAAGCUAAAGAUGAACAUGGACACUAUCAUAUUGAUAGAUGCAAAAAAAAAAAAAAAAGCACUUAAGAAAAUCCAACACUCAAUGAUAAAUACUCUCAGAAACAUGGGAAUAGAGUGAAACUUCCCAAACUUGAUUAAAAAAACAUCUAUACAAAACCUACAGCUAACAAUAUACUUAAUGGUAAAAAACCAGUUGCUUUCCUCUUAAGAUCAGGAACAAGAUAAGAAUGUCCACUCUUGCCAUUCUUAUUCAACACAGUGCUGGUAGUUCUAGGCAGCACAGUAAGGCAAGAAAAGAAAUAAAAGGCAUAUAAAUCAGAAAAGAAAAAAUAAAGCUGUCUCCAUUUGUAGAUGACAUGCUUGCCUAUACAGAAAAUCCCAAGGUCUCUAUUUCUUUAAAAAGAGAGAGGGAGAGAAAAGAAUCUCUUGGGUCUAAUCUCACAAAACAUAGAUGACAUGAAUACUGAAAACUACAAAACGCUCACCGAAGAAAUCAAAUAUCUAAAUAAAUGAAGACAUACCGUGUUCAAAGAUUGGAAGACUCAACACAGUAAAGAUUUCAAUUCUCCCCAAACUGAUACACUCGUUUAAUGCAAUUCCUAUUAAAAUCCCAGCAACAAUUUUCUGUAGAUAUAGAAAAUAUUUGGAUGUCAUCAGGAAUGGCAAAAUCAAACUAUGAAAAUCCUCUCCUCCAUAAAAGCAAUGAAAACACUGACAAAAACUGUCAAAAUUAACUUUUUUGGAACUUUGAAAUUUAAUCAAAGGUUUAUAAUUACCUAGAGACUGUUUAUUCAAGAAAAAUGCCUGAAUCUUGGUUAAAAACAGCAAACCCUGUGGAAUUCUGAACAUGUCCCCAUUCCCUUCCCCAGUUCCAUGGCAGCCUUGAAAAUCAACAGCCCACAAUCACAGUGAAAUCAGCAACAUAGUAACACUGGAGAGGUCAGAACAAAGUUAAAAAGGUUUCAGGUUCUCAUUCUCAGAAAACUACCAUUAUCUGAUCUAUCUGCACUUCCUGGAAAACCUUACCACAAGGCCUAUCUUUAUUUGACAUGACUCCACAGCUUGCAGCCUUUACCCUGAAGGCAUUUGUUAAAAACAAUCAGUGGCAAGUGUUUAGUACCACUGCUGUUUCAUGAGGAAUAACAGUUGUGGCAAACAAUAAGCUAACCAAAAAAACUUAAGCUGGAGAAUGAGAUACCCCGUAGGAGACUUGGGAAACUUCUGGGGAAUCCAGAAGGCUACAUGUAUGAGUAGACAGUAUGUAUGCCUAGGACUGUGCACAUGCUCAAGACUGGAAGAGGCCUUAAGCUCUCACAGAGGCUAAGGGCACACAAAGAAUGUUUCUCCUUGAGGCUAUGCGCAAAGAGAAAGUAAAACCCAAAACAGAGCUGUAAACUAGCAUUGGAUAUUAACCAAAGCUUGCAACAAUUCAGAGAGCACUUACUGAAUCUUGGUACACAGUAUACUAAAACACUACCCUGCUGUGUGUUGAAGGUGUGACCCAACAUGCAUGAAGAGACCCUCAACAAAGACAGGGAGAUAUCCUGGUUACAGUCAUUUAAGGAAAUAUCUGACCAGUACAAACUCAGCAGAGACUUCAGUAGUGACAUACAACAAAAAAUACAAAUUUCAAAGAAUUAGUUAGGAAAGUAACUAAACAAACAGCAACAACAAGCCUGGGGAGGGAAGGACAACUGAUUUCAAAGUUGCUACAUCAUGCUACUUCAACUGCCAGUUUCAACAAAAAUUACAACACUUUCAACAAAAACAAAGUAUGGGUCACACACUGGAAAAAAAGCAGUCAAUAGAAAAUAUCCCGGAGGAAGCCCAGAAAUAGACUUACAAAGUAAAGACUUUAAAACAGUUAUUUUAAAAAUGUUCAAUCAACUAAAGAACUAAAUCAACUGAAGAACUAAAUCAACUAAAGAAACCAUGUCUAAAGAACUAAAGGAAAGGAAGCGAACAAUGUCUCAUUGAAUAGAGAGUAUCAACAGAGGAAGAAAAGUAUAAAAAAGAGCCAACUAGAAAUUUUGGAGUUGAAAAGUACAAUAACUGAAAUAAAAGAUUCACUAGUGAGGCUAAAGAGAUUUGAACAGGCAAAACAAAGGAAACCUGAAGAUCGGUCACUUGAGAUUAUCUAGUAUGAUGAAAAUAAAAAAGUGAUUAAAAGGUAUAUCAAAGUAUACCAUUGUAUAUCAAACUAUGCAGAACAGGAGUGUCAGAAGAAGAAAAGAGAAAGAGGCAGAAUGAAUAUUUGAGGAAAUUAAUAACCCCAAACUUCCCAGCUUGGAUCUAAAACAUUAAUCUGCAUGGCCCAGAAGCUAAAUAACUUCCCAGUAGGAUAAACUUAAGGAAGAGUCACAUUGAAAAACAUAAUAGUUAACUGCUGAAAAAACGCUGGAAGAAAAAAGUUAACUCAUCAUGUACAAGGGAUCCCCAAUAAGAUUAAAAGCUGACUUCUCAUCAGAAACCAGGGAACUAGAAAGCAGUGGAACAUCAUAUUCAAAGUGCUAGGGGGGAAAAAAAAAAAAGAAUAAGAAUUCUCUAUCCAAUAAAACUAUCCUUCAAAAACAAAGUAUAACUUAAGACAUUGCCAGAUAAACAAGAACUGAGAGAAUUCGUCAUUAGCAGACAUACCCUACAAGAAAUCCUGAAGUCUUUCAUGCCAAAAUGAAAGGACACUAGACAGUAACUUGAAUCUAUACAAAGAAAUAAAGAGAACCAGUAAAGAUAACUACACAGUUAAUACAAAAAAUAGUAAAAUUUUAUCUGUUGUUUGUAACUUUUUUUCUCUUAUCUGACUUAAAAGACAACUGUUAUGGUAUUAAUAAAAAAUAUUUAUUUUCUUAGUCCCUAGUCCCUGGCUUGGAGUUCUAAAAACCCUUGGAAUUUCCUGAGUGACAGGAACAUCUUUUGUUUUGCAUACCAAGCACCCAAGCACUUUGGACCAUGCCUGAUUUUAUGCUAAUAAGAGGACUCUUGGAAGGGCCCCCUAGAUAGCUUCAGAAUGGAGACUGGUUGCCAGAAGAAUCAACCACAUGGAUUAGAGGGCUGAAACUUUCAACCCCACCCCCUGACCUCAAGGAGGGGGAAAGAACUGGAGAUUGAGUUCAUUUACCAAUGGCCAAAAAAUUUAAUCAAUCAUGCAUACAUAAUGAAACUUUAAUAAAAAAAAUCCUAAGAUGAUAAGGUUCUGGAGCUUCUGACUUGAUGAACAGGUCAACAUUCUGGGAAGGUGAUGCACCCAGAAGAGGGAAUGAAAGCUCUGAACACUCUAUCCCCAUACUUUGUCUUAUGCAGCUCUUCCAUAUGGAUGUUACGGAGUUGCAUCCUUUAUAAUAAACCGGCAACUGUUAAGUAUAAUAUUUUCCUGAGUUCUAUGAGUUGAUGUAGCAAAUACCAAACCUGAAGAGGGGCUGCGGGAACCCCUGAAUUUGAAGCCAAGUUAGGCAGAAGUGCAGGCAGCCUGUGUCCUUGAGACUUAUGUAUGAAGCAAGGGCUGUCCUGUGGGACCAAGCCCUUAAUCUGCCCUAAUUCCAGGCAGUUAGUAUCAGAAUUGAAUUGAAUUGUAAGACACUUGGUUGGGGUCAGAAAAUCAAACAUUGUUACAAAAACAAAACUAUAUGAAGAAAUAAUUAUAAAAGCUGUGCUGACAGGCUUAUAAUAAUUAAAAUACAAUUUGUAUGACAACAACAGCAUAAAGGAGGGAGGAAUGGAAUGGAACUAUGUAGGGGCAAAAUUUUGCACACUACUGAAAUUAAUUUGGUAUAUGAACCAGAUUGUUAUAAAUUAAGAUAUUGUUAUUCUAAAGGCAGCUACUAAGAAAAUAGCUCAAAAAAUACAGUUAAGCGUCUGCCUUCGGCUUAGGUCAUGAUCCCAGAGUCCUGGGAUCGAGCCCCGCAUUAGGCUCCGUGCUCCACGGGGAGUCUGCUUCUCCCUCUCCCACUCCCCCUGCUUGUGUUCCUGCUCUCGCUCUGUCAAAUAAAUAAAAAUAAAACCUUAAAAAAAAGGAAAGAAACAAGGUAAUUAAAAUGGUACAACAGAAAAUAUUUAACAUAAAGUAAUAAUAGAGAACUAGAGGAAAAAAAAACUCCUACGACGCAGUGACAAUAAAUUAGCAAAAUGGCUCACGUAAAUGCUACCUUCGCCAGGAAUCACAUCAAAUGUAAAUGGAUUAAACACUCCAAUUUAAAGGCAGGGAGAGGAAAAAUGGAUACAGAAGAUGGAUCCGGAGUUCAUCUCCUCCCAUGGACACAACAAGGUAACAGGUACAACUAUACAAGUAACCCUGGAAACAAUCUAAAGACUGGCAGAACAGAUCCUCCACAGUCAACUGUGAAGAGGAGGCCACGCAGAAAAGGAUAGGAAGGACAGAGACACUACUGGAAAGUAAAGCCCUGGAGGCAGUAACCACAAAUGGGUAGGACACUACAAACAUGGAGAAAUUAGAGGAUCAGACCCCACACCAGGAAAACCUGGCAGCAGGGGCCUGCACUGGGAAGACGAAUCCCUGUAACAUGAGGCUUGAAAAAUCAGUGGGACUUAAAUCUGAAAGAGCCAGAGGGGAAUAGGAAACUCAGCUGCUGCCCUUAAAGACUCGGCAAAACAAGUAACUCUGUGUAAGACACAGCACAGAAGUAGCUGUCUGAAAAGCACCUGGGGUAUAAGUGAAGGGGAUUUACUGACUAAUCUUAGAAUGUGUGAAGGGACAGCGAUCUUCAGAUUUCUCCAGGAACAAAAGUGCUGGCAGAUGCCACUUCUUUUCUACUCCACCAGCUUACAUAGCCGGACACUUGCAGAAGCCAGCGCCAACACUCUCCCCCAUCUAUCCUGCUAGCAGUAUGUGCUCCAUCCAAGCAUUCCCCCGAGGACGGACCCAUCCAAACCACUGCUCCUGCCUCACCCCACCCUGGAGGCUGCCCAAGCAGGUACUGGUGCCAAAGUGAUUCCUGCCUGGGGAGGCGGGGGGAGAUAACCCCACACACUGGCACACCCGCAAUUCCAGCAGCCCAGACUCUUAGCUGGCUGUGCAGGGAGCAAGCUGUGCCCUUUGAUGCUCCUGCAACCACGGCAGAGGCUAACAGGAGACUCCUAGGCUGAUGGCCAGCCCUGCCUACCAACAAGCCUGAGGCAACCUCAGGCCUCUCAACAGCACAGAGACCAAACCCUGCCUAGUGCACCCACAGCAUGUAAUGGGGGUCAUGGCAGUCGGCUAGGCUGAAGGCAACAGUGGCUCAGCCACAAAAGUGGGGUAUAUGCAGCCCACACAGAGGGCACCUCUGGAGACCAGAGAGGGCAAGUGCUAUACGGUACCAUAGGACCUCUUCUACACAAGGCCAUGACUUUAACAACUAGGAGAUAUAGCUACCCACCUAAUACAGAGAAACACAGAGUCAGGCAAAAUGAGACAGUAAUAUGUCCCAAAUGGAAGAACAAGACAAAAAUCACAGUAAAAGAGCUAAGUGAAAUGGAGAUAAGCAAUGUACCUAAUAAAGAAUUCAAAAUAAUGGUCAUAGAAAUUGGGACAUAAGAGUGGAUGAUCUCAAUGAGAACUUCAACAAAGAUAGAAAAUAUAAGAAUCAGAGAAUUUAAUAAUGAAAUAAAAAAAAUACACUAAGAGAAUUAACAGCAGAUUAGAAGACACAGAAGAAUGUAUCAGUGAUCUGGGGGACAGGGUAAUAGAAAGCAAUCAAGCUGAAUAUCAAAAAGAGAAAUACUAAAAAAAUGAGAAUAGAUUAAAGGGAACUCAGCAACAUCAUCAAGCAUAGUAACAUUCACAUUAUAGGGGUCACAGAAAGAGGAGAGAGAGAGAAGGGGGCAGAAAACUUAUUUUAAAAAAUACUAGCUGAAAAAUUUCCUAAUCUGGGUUAGGAAACAAGAUGAACCCAAGGAGGACUACACCAAGAUACAUAAUAAUUAAUUUUUAUGAGAGAAUUUUUAAAGGAGCAAGAAACAACAGUUACACACCAGAGAAACCCUGUAAGGCUAUCAGCUCAUUUUUCAGCAGAAAACUUGGCAGGCUAAAAGGGAGUGUCACCGAUAUAGUCAAAGUGCUGAAAAGACAAGACCUACAACCAAGAAUACUCUACCCAGCAAGGUUAUCAUUUAGAAUAGAAGGAGAGAGAGUUUCCCAAACAAGUUAAAUGAGUUCACCAUUAAAUUUAAAGGAAGCUCUUUCAGUGCAAAGAUAAGGCCAUAAUUAGAAGAAAAUUAUUAAAGGAAAAAAGUCUCACAGGUAAAAGCAAACAUAUACUAAAGGUAGUAGAUCAGUCACUUUUAAAGCCAGUUUUUAAAACACAGAAGUAAAAUCAAUUAUACCUACAAAACCUUGUCAGGGAUACACAAAACAAAAAGAUGUAAAGCAUGACAUCAUAUCCAUAAAAUGUGGAGGGGAAGUAAAAAUGCAGUGAUUUUAGAAUGUGCUCAAGCUUAAGCAACUAUCAACUUAAUAUAGACUGCUACAGACAUAAGCUGUUAUAUAUGAGCCCAUGGUAACCACAAAUCAAAAACCUAAAAUGGACACAAAAUAACCCAGAAAGGAAUACAGGCAUAACACUAAAGAAAGCUUUCAACCACAGGGUAAGAGCAAAAGAAAUGAACAGAAGAGCUACAAAAAGAAGCUGUGAAUUGUGUAAGACUGAAGAGUCACAGACUUGUACCCCUGAAACAAAUAAUACAUUAUAUGUUAAUAAAAAAGAUAACCUGAAAGUAAAAAAAAAAAAACCCCCAAAAAAAGAAAAUAAACAAAAUGGCAGUAAGUACAUACCUAUCAGUAAUUACUUCAAAUGUAAAUGGAUUAAAUGCCCCAAUCAAGACACAGAAUGACUAAAUGGAUUAAAAAAAAAAAAACCACCACCAAGACCCA